ensembl:lncRNA
AUGGUUUUGGAGAACAAGAUGCGUCUGUUCACCGUGUGCUUCGCGACCAUCUUCUCCGUUACCCCGGGGCUGGAUCUGAGCACCAACUCUUACAUGGAGGUGGGUGCCAGGGAGCUGCAGNUGGGAAUUGGGUUGGGAAUGGGGGUGACAGGACGAGGGGAAAUGGCCGAGGUGCUCAGUGAGUGCUUUGCCUCGGUCUUCACCGGUGGCCAGGCUCCCUGCAUCUGCCAGGACCCUGAACCUCGAGGUGUGGGUGAGAGGAGCGCAUUCCGUCCCACUGGGACAGCGGAACAAGUCCGAGACCUCCUCGUGAAACUGAACCUGUGGAAAUCCAUGGGGCCGGAUGAGAUCCACCCUGGGGUGCUGAGAGAGAUGGGUGAUGUGGUCGCCGAGCCGCUCUCUGUCAGAUUGGAAAAAUCAUGGCUGUCUGGUGAAAUCCUCAAUGAGUGGAGGAAGGGAAACAUGACUUCCAUCUUUAAGAAAGAGAGAAAGGAUGAGCUGGGGAACUACAGGCCGGCGAGCCACAGCUGUGUGCCUGGGAUAUCACAGAGCGGAUCCUCCUGGUUGCCAUGGCAAGGCACAGAAGUGAUAAGGAGCUCACCGAGACAGCCAGCAUGGCUUCACCAAGGGCAAAUCUCGCCUGGUGGCCUUCUACGAUGAAGCGACGGCAUCGGUGGACGGGAGGAGGGCGAUGGAUGCCGUCUGCCUGGACUUGUGCAAAGCCUUUGGCAGGGUCCCUCAUCACAUCCUGCUCUCCAAGAUGGAGAGGUGUGGGUUCGAAGGAUGGACUGCUCGGUGGGUUAAGAAGUGCUCGGCUGGUCGCAGCCAAAGGGCUGUGCUCCGUGGUGCUGUGUCAGGGUGGAGGCCGGUGAUGAGCGGUGUCCCCCAGGGCUCAGUCCGGGGCCUGGUGCUCUUCAACGUCUUUAUUAGUGACAAUAACGAUGGCAUCGAUUGCACUUGGAGCAAAGUUUGCAGGUGACACCGAGCCGAGCGGUGCAGCCGAUGCAUGGAGGGAAGGGAACCACCCAGAGGGACCCGGACAGGCUGGAGGAGUGGGCCCACGAGAACCUCAUGAGGUUCAACAAGGCCAAGCACAAGAUGCUGCACUCGGGCCGGGGCAAUCCCAGGUGUGUGUACAAACUGGGGGAAGAACUCCUGGAGAGCAGCCCUGCAGGGAAGGGCUUCAGGGUCGUGGUGGACGAGAAGCUGGGCGUGAGCCAGCAGCCAACCAUGUUCUGGGCUGCAUGAAAAGAGGAGUGGGCAGCAGGGACAAGGACAGGAUUGUCCCCCGCUACUCGGCUCCGGUGAGGCCCCAUUUGCAGCACUGCAUCCAGGCCUGGGGCCCAAAGGACGAGAAAGACGUGGGGCUCUUGGGACGAGUUCAGAGGAGCCCACUGAGAUGGAGCAGCUCUGCUAGGGAGAAAGGCUGAGGGAACUGGGCUGGUUCAGCCUGGAGGAGAGAAGGCUCCGGGGAGAGGCCUAGUGAAGGCCUCGUUGCGGCCUUCUUGACAGGAGUGUAUACAACAGGAUUGUUGAGGUUGGAGAGUGCUAGAACAAGGGAAAAUGGCUUUAAACUGAGACAAGGUUGGAUAUGAGGAGGGAUUUUUUCACGCAGAGGGU